AUUGAACGCUGGCGGCAUGCUUUACACAUGCAAGUCGAACGGUAACAGGCCGCAAGGUGCUGACGAGUGGCGAACGGGUGAGUAAUGCAUCGGAACGUGCCCAGUCGUGGGGGAUAACGCAGCGAAAGCUGCGCUAAUACCGCAUACGAUCUCUGGAUGAAAGCGGGGGACCGAAAGGCCUCGCGCGAUUGGAGCGGCCGAUGUCAGAUUAGGUAGUUGGUGGGGUAAAGGCCCACCAAGCCAACGAUCUGUAGCUGGUCUGAGAGGACGACCAGCCACACUGGGACUGAGACACGGCCCAGACUCCUACGGGAGGCAGCAGUGGGGAAUUUUGGACAAUGGGCGCAAGCCUGAUCCAGCAAUGCCGCGUGCAGGAAGAAGGCCUUCGGGUUGUAAACUGCUUUUGUACGGAACGAAACGGUCCGGGUUAAUACCCUGGGCUAAUGACGGUACCGUAAGAAUAAGCACCGGCUAACUACGUGCCAGCCGCCGCCGUAAUAC
rnacentral:rRNA from 1 species